GUAUCAUUAUCAUUAUCAUUAUAUUGAUAGCUGUGCAAUAAUUUCCAGCAUGGGAGGUGAUUGUGACGAGACAACUAGGUCAGGACGACGUGAAGAUGUUGUCGCACAUCACUGCAACGUUUUCUGUGGCGCUGUGUGUGAAGUCUGAAGGGUCCGCUGUGUGCCAAAUCACUGACACACACAUCAUGCAUUUGGUAGGUAUCACAAAGAACUUUGAUUUGCAUACUCACUGCACCUCUCAAGGAUCGGUUUUGUGCUGUAUGGAAGCAUCUGCACGGCGGCUUCUCGUGUAAUCAUUCAGUCAUCUCUCUUUUCCUUUUGUCUCCUUCUCAGGAGAAACAUAAAGCUGUGGACUUGAACCUGACAGGGCAACUAUGCAACACAUGUCUCCAGGUGAAGAGGCUCGAUGUGAAGUAUGCAGCCACAGUCCUUCACUGUCUUGAGCAAUGCGAAGAAUCCCCGUACGUCAGACCUGUCGUCAUCAGACAACCCUCUUGGGACUUGACUUGGGUUGUUGUACCUGCGGGCGUUUGCCUCUCUGGCAUCAUUACUAUCACUCUGGUGCUGCACGUACUGUUAACCGUGUAUGAGAGGAGGAAACUAAAAAGAAAUGGAGGCUAUAUCUCUGAAAAGCAAAUAGAUCCUGCUUUUGACUGCGUGGUCCCUGUAUUACAAUCUCAACCUGCUGUCCACGGAGGGGUCCUCAUACCUGAUUCACCAAAGUGUGGGAACACGGAGAAGACCAAUUUACUCUCUGACUGAGCGAAGAGCAGCGCUCCCGUCAAAAGCAUUACUUGUAAUGUGAUGUAUACAACUGUACAAACCAAAUGUGUUCUCUGUUAAAUGCAGCGUUCAAUGUUGGGACAGAUAUUACAAAUGUUAUAUAUAUUACUGGAUCUUUGCUGGUUGGUGUACUUGUUGUAUUUGAUGUUGUCUGGGAGAAAGCUAACAUGUAUAUUGUCAUUUUUUUUUAAAGUUCAAAUUCAGCUUGCAGCAACAGUUGGAUCCUAACUAAUAUUUAUAUUUUCAAUAAAAAUAUAAAAGCGAAACAUGAAAAAAACUACUUUUUUACAUGACAGAUGUGAAAAAGCAAA
rnacentral:lncRNA from 1 species